rnacentral:tRNA from 1 species
GCCAGAGUGGUGUAGUGGUUUGACUGUUGGACUAGGACUCUGGAGACCAGGGUUCAAAUCCUCACUCAGCCA